rnacentral:misc_RNA from 1 species
UCCGGUUUGUCACCGGCAGUCCCAUUAGAGUGCCCAACUAAAUGUAGCAACUAAUGGCAAGGGUUGCGCUCGUUGCGGGACUUAACCCAACAUCUCACGACACGAGCUGACGACAGCCAUGCAGCACCUGUGUUCCCGUUCCCUUUCGGGCACACCCGGGUUUCCCCAGGCUCCAGGACAUGUCAAGGGUAGGUAAGGUUUUUCGCGUUGCAUCGAAUUAAUCCACAUAAUCCACCGCUUGUGCGGGUCCCCGUCAAUUCCUUUGAGUUUUAACCUUGCGGCCGUACUCCCCAGGCGGGAUGCUUAAUGCGUUAGCUUCGGCACGGACGGAGUCUACACCGCCCACACCUAGCAUCCAUCGUUUAGGGCUAGGACUAC